rnacentral:sRNA from 1 species
GGACUAGUACAAAACUAUACAGCUUUCUUGUAGUUUUUUGCCGCAAGCUUUCUUGUAGUUGUAUACAUGUUUAGGGUUUAGAUGGGAUUACUUUUUACGCAUUUGCUUAAUUGUUCAAUAUAUAUUCAUACCACAUUUGCAUCCAAACAUUUGGAUUCUCUAGAUAAGAUAUAGUAGUCAGGGAGGUAUUGUUGCUUAUAUUCCACACUAUUGUUCUAAUACAUGCACGAUACAAGUUAUAUAUGCGUUACAGUACAUUUCUGAGUAAUUGAACUUAACCCACUGUUUGCAUGAAUAGAUAUUCACCCAUCUGUUUUGUUCAUGUAGUUGGUUUCUUCUGUAUUAACCAAUAAAUACUAUUUUACCAUCAAGAAAGAGGUAGAAGAAUCACACGAAGCAAGGAAGCAACAGCUGGAAGAUAUUGAAAUUUUAAAGAAGUCACCGAAGGAGACAAAUGACCUUCGUCGGCUGAUUGGCCUUAACACUCUUGUGGUUAGCCUCAUGCUGAUUCAUGCUGAGAUGACUAGUUUUGUGGUUGGUGUGAUCUGGACAUGUGACUUUGUUUUUGUUGGUGAAUGUAAACGACUAUUUGGACAAGUGACGUCAUUUUGGUCACAAUGACGUUGGCUGGAUUUUGGUCGGCGAUGAUAUGCUCAAUGUACUGAUGUUGUAUCGAUGUAAUUGAACCUGUUUUGGUU